rnacentral:rRNA from 1 species
AGAGUUUGAUCAUGGCUCAGAAUUAACGCUGGCGGCAUGCCUAACACAUGCAAGUCGCACGAGAAAGCCCCUUUCAGGGGGCAAGUAAAGUGGCGCACGGGUGAGUAACGCGUGGAUAAUCUACCUCUUUCUGGGGGAUAACGCACCGAAAGGUGCGCUAAUACCGCAUAACCCGGUUGGUCUUAGGGCCGAUCGGUAAAGGUGGCCUCUUCAUGAAAGCUACCGGGAAGAGACGAGUCCGCGUCCCAUUAGCUUGUUGGUAGGGUAACGGCCUACCAAGGCGACGAUGGGUAGCUGGUCUGAGAGGACGAUCAGCCACACUGGAACUGGAACACGGUCCAGACUCCUACGGGAGGCAGCAGUGAGGAAUAUUGCGCAAUGGGGGAAACCCCGACGCAGCGAUGCCGCGUGAGUGAAGAAGGCCUUCGGGUCGUAAAGCUCUGUCAAGUGGGAAGAACAGUUUGGGGACGAAUAAUCCUCGAGCCUGACGGUACCACUGAAGGAAGCACCGGCUAACUCCGUGCCAGCAGCCGCGGUAAGACGGAGGGUGCAAGCGUUAUUCGGAUUUAUUGGGCGUAAAGAGCGUGUAGGCGGUCGGUCAAGCCAGAUGUGAAAGCCCAGGGCUUAACCCUGGAAGUGCAUUUGGAACUGGUCGACUUGAGUUCGGGAGAGGGAAGUGGAAUUCCGGGUGUAGAGGUGAAAUUCGUAGAUAUCCGGAGGAACACCGGUGGCGAAGGCGACUUCCUGGACCGAAACUGACGCUGAGACGCGAAAGCGUGGGGAGCAAACAGGAUUAGAUACCCUAGUAGUCC